rnacentral:rRNA from 1 species
GCAUGCGGAUUAAUUCGAUGCAACGCGAAGAACCUUACAAGGCUUGACAUACCGGAAACGGCCAGAGAUGGUCGCCCCUUGUGUCGGUGUACAGGUGGUGCAUGGUUGUCGUCAGCUCGUGUCGUGAGAUGUUGGGUUAAGUCCCGCAACGAGCGCAACCCUCGUUCUAUGUUGCCAGCGGGUUACCGGGGACUCAUAGGAGACUGCCGGGGUCAACUCGCAGGAAGGUGAGUAUGACGUCAANUCAUCAUGCACUGUAUGUGUUGGGCUUCACGCAUGGUACAAUGGCCGGUACAAAGGGUUAAUCUCNAAAAGCCGGUCUCAGUUCGGAUUGAGGUCUGCAACUCGACCUCAUGAAGUCGCAGUCGUUAGUAAUCGCAGAUCAGCACUUUGCGGUGAAUACGUUACCGGGCCUUGUACACACCGCCCGUCAAGUCAUGAAAGUCGGUAACACCCGAAGCCGGUGGCCUAACC